rnacentral:rRNA from 1 species
GAACGAUGAAGCCCUUCGGGGUGGAUUAGUGGCGAACGGGUGAGUAACACGUGGGCAAUCUGCCCUUCACUCUGGGACAAGCCCUGGAAACGGGGUCUAAUACCGGAUAACACUCUGUCCCGCAUGGGACGGGGUUAAAAGCUCCGGCGGUGAAGGAUGAGCCCGCGGCCUAUCAGCUUGUUGGUGGGGUGAUGGCCUACCAAGGCGACGACGGGUAGCCGGCCUGAGAGGGCGACCGGCCACACUGGGACUGAGACACGGCCCAGACUCCUACGGGAGGCAGCAGUGGGGAAUAUUGCACAAUGGGCGAAAGCCUGAUGCAGCGACGCCGCGUGAGGGAUGACGGCCUUCGGGUUGUAAACCUCUUUCAGCAGGGAAGAAGCGAAAGUGACGGUACCUGCAGAAGAAGCGCCGGCUAACUACGUGCCAGCAGCCGCGGUAAUACGUAGGGCGCAAGCGUUGUCCGGAAUUAUUGGGCGUAAAGAGCUCGUAGGCGGCUUGUCACGUCGGAUGUGAAAGCCCGGGGCUUAACCCCGGGUCUGCAUUCGAUACGGGCUAGCUAGAGUGUGGUAGGGGAGAUCGGAAUUCCUGGUGUAGCGGUGAAAUGCGCAGAUAUCAGGAGGAACACCGGUGGCGAAGGCGGAUCUCUGGGCCAUUACUGACGCUGAGGAGCGAAAGCGUGGGGAGCGAACAGGAUUAGAUACCCUGGUAGUCCACGCCGUAAACGUUGGGAACUAGGUGUUGGCGACAUUCCACGUCGUCGGUGCCGCAGCUAACGCAU